rnacentral:rRNA from 1 species
UCCCCCCAAACGGGGGACAUGUGGUUUAUUCGAUGAUACGCGAGGAACCUUACCCGGGCUUGAAAGUUACUGAAGUAUCCAGAGGUGAAUGCGUCCGCAAGGACAGGAAACUAGGUGCUGCAUGGCUGUCGUCAGCUCGUGCCGCGAGGUGUUGGGUUAAGUCCCGCAACAUCCGCAACCCCUAUGUAUGGUUUCCUGCAUGUUAAGGUGGGGACUCUAAUCAGACUGCCUGUGCAAACAGAUAGGAAGGAGGGUACAACCUCGAGGAAUAAUGGCCUGUAUGUCCUUGACUCCGCCCUGCUAUCCUGCAUGAGGCCAAGGGACGCUAUAUUGGUUAAGGGGGGCAACCCCGGAACAAGCUUGGUACGUGGGAGGAAGGUCUUCCUCGGGAUGGCAACCAGCUUUAAUCGGGAAAAAUCCCUAUUUCCGUGCAACACCUAGUUUCUUGUCCAUGAAGACGGAUUCA